rnacentral:rRNA from 1 species
CCCUUAGAUGGUCUGGGCGGCACGCGCGCUACAAUGAUGCAUUCAAAAAGUCUUCUGACCUUAGAAGGUUGGGUAUUCUCCAAAGUGCAUCGUGAUGGGAAUAGUUUAUUGCAAUUUUUAAUCUUGAACGAGGAAUUCCUAGUAAGUACAGGUCAUCAACUUGUGUUGAUUACGUCCCUGCCCUUUGUACACACCGCCCGUCGCUCCUACUGAUUGAAUGCUCAGGUGAGCCAUUCGGACUUUCAUCAUGCUGGUUUCCAGUUUUGAUGAAGGAAAGUCUUGCGAACCUUAUCAUUUAGAGGAAGGAGAAGUCGUAACA